UAACAGGAAAAGCUUGCUUUUCGCUGACGACCGGCGCACGGGUGCGUAACGCGUAUGCAACCUACCUGUAACAGGGAGAUAGCCCAGGGAAACUUGGAUUAAUACCCCAUAAUAUUGUUUAAUCACCUGAUUGAACAAUUAAAGUUUCGGCGGUUAGAGAUGGGCAUGCGUAACAUUAGCUAGAUGGUAAGGUAACGGCUUACCAUGGCCACGAUGUUUAGGGGUUCUGAGAGGAUUAUCCCCCACACUGGUACUGAGACACGGACCAGACUCCUACGGGAGGCAGCAGUGAGGAAUAUUGGGCAAUGGAGGCAACUCUGACCCAGCCAUGCCGCGUGCAGGAAGACGGCCCUAUGGGUUGUAAACUGCUUUUAUAUACCAAGAAACCCCAUCACGAGUGAUGGCUUGACGGUAGUAUAUGAAUAAGGACCGGCUAACUCCGUGCCAGCAGCCGCGGUAAUACGGAGGGUCCGAGCGUUAUCCGGAUUUAUUGGGUUUAAAGGGUGCGCAGGCGGUACAAUAAGUCAGUGGUGAAAUCCUACGGCUCAACCGUAGAACUGCCAUUGAUACUGUUGCUCUUGAGUUCGGUUGAGGUAGGCGGAAUGUGGCAUGUAGCGGUGAAAUGCUUAGAUAUGCUACAGAACACCGAUUGCGAAGGCAGCUUACUAAGCCGAUACUGACGCUGAGGCACGAAAGCGUGGGGAGCGAACAGGAUUAGAUACCCUGGUAGUCCACGCUGUAAACGAUGAUCACUCGUUGUUGGCGAUACACUGUCAGCGACCAAGCGAAAGCGUUAAGUGAUCCACCUGGGGAGUACGUUCGCAAGAAUAAAACUCAAAGGAAUUGACGGGGGCCCGCACAAGCGGAGGAACAUGUGGUUUAAUUCGAUGAUACGCGAGGAACCUUACCCGGACUUAAAUGUAGAAUGACCGUCGCCGAAAGGUGAUUCCCUUCGGGGCAAUUUACAAGGUGCUGCAUGGCUGUCGUCAGCUCGUGCCGUGAGGUGUCGGGUUAAGUCCCAUAACGAGCGCAACCCCUAUCAUUAGUUGCCAGCGGAUAAUGCCGGGGACUUAAAGAAACUGCCCGCGCAAGCGGAGAGGAAGGUGGGGACGACGUCAAGUCAUCACGGCCCUUAUGUCCAGGGCUACACACGUGCUACAAUGGCGAAUACAAAGGGCAGCUACCUGGUGACAGGAUGCUAAUCUCUAAAAUUCGUCCUAGUUCGGAUCGAAGUCUGCAACUCGACUUCGUGAAGCUGGAAUCGCUAGUAAUCGCGCAUCAGCCAUGGCGCGGUGAAUACGUUCCCGGGCCUUGUACACACCGCCCGUCAAACAAUGGAAGCUGGGGGUACCUGAAGUCGGUCGCCGUAAGGAGCUGCCUAGGGUAAAACUAGUAACUGGGGCUAAGUCGUAACAAGGUAGCCGUACCGGAAGGUGUGGCUGGAACACCUCCUU
rnacentral:rRNA from 1 species